GUAGGUGGCAAGCGUUGUCCGGAAUUAUUGGGCGUAAAGCGCGCGCAGGUGGUUCUUUAAGUCUGAUGUGAGAGCCCCCGGCUCAACCGGGGAGGGUCAUUGGAAACUGGGGAACUUGAGUGCAGGAGAGGAAAGUGGAAUUCCACGUGUAGCGGUGAAAUGCGUAGAUAUGUGGAGGAACACCAGUGGCGAAGGCGACUUUCUGGCCUGUAACUGACACUGAGGCGCGAAAGCGUGGGGAGCAAACAGGGAUUAGAUACCCUGGUAGUCCACGCCGUAAACGAUGAGUGCUAAGUGUUGGGGGGGUUUCCCGCCCCUCAGUGCUGCAGCUAACGCAUUAAGCACUCCGCCUGGGGAUACGGUCGCAAGACUG
rnacentral:rRNA from 1 species